GAUGUUGUAGUAUAGUGGUCAGUACAUCACGUUGUGGUGUGAGCAAUCACCCGCGACCACGGGCAACUUUCCGUGAAGACCCCGGUUCGAUUCCGGGCAACGUCA